rnacentral:antisense_RNA from 1 species
GUUCCCAGGCUGGCCUUGUUGGGGAAGGUGGACUUUCCCUGGUGGUCAACAUCGCACCUACCAAUCAAAUCGUAAUUUCGUCGUUCGAGGCCCGUCCCUCUUCCGGACGCAAUUACCAAUGAGAAAUGCCCUUCCCCGACGUCUUUUUACCUGAUUGGUGCGCUCAUCAGUUCCCGGAAUACCUUUCCUACAACAGAUUGGCCAUCGCGGUGGUUGGCCUCGCCCCACAAAGCGAGGCGCUGGAGAAGACUUGAAGAUCAUUGGUGGAAGUGGAUGUCCCUCAAAGGUCUGCGCUAACUGCCUUUUGAUUGGUUGGAAGCGGCACUUACUACGUGGCGGAUUCUGACUGUGAAGAGGACGGUCCCAAGUGAAGAGGACGGUCCCAAGUGAAGAGUGGGAGGCAAGUCCCUUGUGACCGGGAGGAGGUCGACCUUAAAGGAGCUGGCAUUGUAGCUCUUCUAAAGCCUAGUCUACUUAGGAAGGCAAAAGCGAAGCAGCAAGAAGUGGCCACAGAAGCCGUGUGGUCCCUAGAAGUAGAAGGGUAAGGAGGGUGCAGGAGAUGGUCCUACUUGUGGCCGCAACGGGGCUCAGAAGUCCGCUUGUUAGAGAUGGCAGUGACCUGUGACAAUCCAGUCUGCCCGACACGCCUCCCGCCUCCUUAGAAACGGGAAGGAGCCCCGGCCCAGUGCACUGACGUAGUUAGCCUAAGAUCACGUAGCUGGUUGGUCACAGAAUCAUGACUUUAAUUCAUGUCUUCUGACUCUGACCUGGCACGCUUUGUACCUCACCAAAGACAGUGAUGAAACUGCAAAAGGGCAGAGUGGAGAAGACUGGAAUGUUCAGCCAAGGCAUUUGAACUUUUAAUGCUGCAAGUCAAGACUUCCCGAAGAUUUUUGAGCAGAUGAGUGAAGUGAUAAGAAAAUGCAUCUUCAGCAGUGACAGCAUCAACGAUGAGGAGACUGGCCGGGAGGCUAUUACCCGCAUCAAAACCAGUGAACAUUAAAAAAAAUUUUUUUUUUUAGAGAGAGGGUCUUGCUCUUUUGCCCAGGCUGGAGUGCAGUGGCUUGACCAUAGUUGACUAUAACCUUGAAUUCCUGCGUUCAAGCGAUCUUCCUUCCUCAGCUUCCGGAGUAGCUGGGACUACAGAUGCGUGCCACCAUGCCAGGCCAAUUUUUAAUUUUGUUUUGUAAAGAUGGGGUUUCUGUGUUGCCCAGGUAGGACAAAGAGGAAUGACAAAAGGCAUGUAACCACCUGAAUUUGCCCCUAUCAAAGAGCUCUCCAGGAAGCACCACCAAGGAAUUUUCACUGACAUUUCCCAGGCCAGACCAUGCUGCUGCUAAGCAAAAUGAGGAUUCUGCUAGUGAGGAUGAAAGGAAGAAUGUGUAAUCAGUUUUCUUGAAGUAUAAUACAUGUACAAUAAACUGAACCUAUUGGAAAUAUACAUUUGGAUGAGUUUUGACAGAUGUAUAUACCACAGUCAAGAUACAGAACAUUCCCAUCACUCCAAGAGAUUCUUUGUGUCCCUUUGUGGUCAAUCCCUCCUACCCGAGGCCCCUAGGUAACCGCUGAUCUGUUUUCCAUCACAAUAGAUUAGUCUGCAUAUUCUAGCAUCUUUAAUAAAUGCAGUCAUACAG